CAAUAGCGUAUAUUAAAGUUGUUGCGGUAAAAAAGCUCGUAGUUGGAUUUCUACCGAAGAUAGCCGGUCGGGUCUUCGACCUUGUAUCUGGUUUUGUCUUUGGUAUCCUCAUAGGGAACGUUUCUGCGCUUUAUUGCGUGGUGCGAUAUCUAUGACUUUUACUUUGAGGAAAUUAGAGUGUUCACGGCAGGCAAACGCCUUGAAUAUAUUAGCAUGGAAUAAUAACAUAGGAUCUUCGUCCUAUUUUGUUGGUUUCUAGGGCUAAGAUAAUGAUUAAUAGGGAUAAUUGGGGGCAUCUGUAUCAACGCGUCAGAGGUGGAAUUCUUGGAUUGCGUUGCGACAAACUACUGCGAAAGCAUUUGCCAAGGAUGUUUUCAUUGA
rnacentral:rRNA from 1 species